rnacentral:rRNA from 1 species
GACGAACGCUGGCGGCAUGCCUAACACAUGCAAGUCGAGCGAGUGGAGUUCUUCGGAACAAAGCUAGCGGCGGACGGGUGAGUAACACGUGGGCAACCUGCCUCAUAGAGGGGAAUAGCCUCCCGAAAGGGAGAUUAAUACCGCAUAAGAUUGUAGCUUCGCAUGAAGUAGCAAUUAAAGGAGCAAACCGCUAUGAGAUGGGCCCGCGGCGCAUUAGCUAGUUGGUGAGGUAACGGCUCACCAAGGCGACGAUGCGUAGCCGCCCUGAGAGGGUGAUCGGCCACAUUGGGACUGAGACACGGCCCAGACUCCUACGGGAGGCAGCAGUGGGGAAUAUUGCACAAUGGGGGAAACCCUGAUGCAGCAAUGCCGCGUGAGUGAUGACGGCCUUCGGGUUGUAAAGCUCUGUCUUCGGGGACGAUAAUGACGGUACCCGAGGAGGAAGCCACGGCUAACUACGUGCCAGCCGCCGCAGUAAUAC